rnacentral:rRNA from 1 species
AUACGUAGGUGGCGAGCGUUAUCCGGAUUUACUGGGUGUAAAGGGCGCGUAGGCGGGGGUGCAAGUCAGAUGUGAAAUCUAUGGGCUCAACUCAUAAGCUGCAUUUGAAACUGUACUUCUUGAGUACUGGAGAGGUAGACGGAAUUCCUUGUGUAGCGGUGAAAUGCGUAGAUAUAAGGAAGAACACCAGUGGCGAAGGCGGUCUACUGGACAGCAACUGACGCUGAGGCGCGAAAGCGUGGGGAGCAAACAGGAUUAGAUACCCUGGUAGUCCACGCUGUAAACGAUGAAUACUAGGUGUGGGGGGACUGACCCCUUCCGUGCCGCAGUUAACACAAUAAGUAUUCCACCUGGGGAGUACGGCCGCAAGGUUGAAACUCAAAUGAAUUGACGGGG